rnacentral:tRNA from 1 species
AUUUAUAUAGUUUAAUUAAAACAUUUUAUUUUCAAUAAAAAAAUAAUACAUAUUUUAUAUUUAUAAAUU